rnacentral:rRNA from 1 species
ACGUGGCGCACGGCUCAGUAACACGUAGUCAACAUGCCCAGAGGACGUGGAUAACCUCGGGAAACUGAGUCUAAACCGCGAUAAGUGAGGAUUUCUGGAAUGGUUCCUGACUAAAAUCUAUAUGGCCUCUGGAUUGGACUGCGGCCGAUCAGGCUGUUGGUGAGGUAAUGGCCCACCAAACCUGUAACCGGUACGGGCUCUGAGAGGAGGAGCCCGGAGAUGGGCACUGAGACAAGGGCCCAGGCCCUAUGGGGCGCAGCAGGCGCGAAACCUCUGCAAUAGGCGAAAGCCUGACAGGGUUACUCUGAGUGACUUUCGCUAAGAAAGUCUUUUGGCACCUCUAAAAAGGGUGCAGAAUAAGGGGUGGGCAAGUCUGGUGUCAGCCGCCGCGGUAAUACCAGCACCCCGAGUGGUCGGGACGAUUAUUGGGCCUAAAGCAUCCGUAGCCGGUUCUGCAAGUCCCCCGUUAAAUCCAGCUGCUCAACAGAUGGGCCGCGGAGGAUACUACAGAGCUAGGAGGCAGGAGAGGCAAGCGGUACUCAGUGGGUAGGGGUAAAAUCCGUUGAUCCAUUGAAGACCACCAGUGGCGAAGGCGGCUUGCCAGAACGCGCUCGACGGUGAGGGAUGAAAGCUGGGGGAGCAAACCGGAUUAGAUACCCGGGUAGUCCCAGCCGUAAACGAUGCAGACUCGGUGAUGGGUUGGCUUCGCGCUAACCCAGUGCCGCAGGGAAGCCGUUAAGUCUGCCGCCUGGGUAGUACGGUCGCAAGACUGAAACUUAAAGGAAUUGGCGGGGGAGCACCACAAGGGGUGAAGCCUGCGGUUCAAUUGGAUUCAACGCCGGG